GACGAACGCUGGCGGCGUGCUUAACACAUGCAAGUCGAGCGAUGAUACCCUUCGGGGUUGAUUAGCGGCGGACGGGUGAGUAACACGUGGGCAACCUGCCUUACAGAGGGGGAUAGCCUUCCGAAAGGAAGAUUAAUAACGCAUAAUAUGCAAUUCUCGCAUGAGAGAUGUAUCAAAGGAGCAAUCCGCUGUAAGAUGGGCCCGCGGCGCAUUAGCUAGUUGGUGAGGUAACGGCUCACCAAGGCGACGAAGCGUAGCCGACCUGAGAGGGUGUUCAGCCACAUUGGAACUGGGACUAGGUCCAGACUCCUACGGGAGGCAGCAGUGGGGAAUAGUGCACAAUGGGGGAAACCCUGAUGCAGCAACGCCGCGUGAGUGAUGAAGGCCUUCGGGUUGUAAGGCUCUUUGAUUAGGGACGAUAAUGACGGUACCUAAAAAACAAGCCACGGCUAACUACGUGCCAGCCGCCGCUGUAAGAC
rnacentral:rRNA from 1 species